ACUCCUCUGGCUGCCCUCUCCAAGGAUCCCUGUGGUGCCAGGCAGGAAUGGGCUGCUUGGGGACCCAGGGAGCUCCCAAGGUCUUUCCUGCUGCUUCCUCUACCCCUGUAUUUCGUUCGGCUGUCUAGACUGACUCAGCUUCAGGCCCUCUGUGCAUGCCAUGCUUAAUAAGGUAAUAAAAAGGUAAGAUUAUAAAGAAGGAAGAGGCCUAUCAAGGAAAGAAGGCUCUUUAUUUGCUUUGCUGUCAUGGUAUCCUUCCCAUUCCACUGGCUUCCAGCACAUAUGUGGAAACUUUUUGGGAAAGUUCCCCAAAACUUUGGGGAACUGUGUUCCCCUGAAGUUUGGAGGGUGAGGAGUGAAAGAGGUUGAGAAGAAUGAGCUGGCUGGGUUGGACAUUCAGAGGUGACAAUGGCCAGAUCAACCUUGGUAAGUGGGAGUCCAUGGUGUUUGUUCCACGCAAAGUUCUGUCUCUGCCACUUUGUUCGUUUGCCUCUUUUUCCAGUGCUUGAGGGUGGCAGCUGACAAAGGCUGACUGAUAUCAACUGACUGAUUCAUUUCAUCUGGUUGGAAA